UACGGAGGGUGCAAGCGUUGUCCGGAUUUAUUGGGUUUAAAGGGUGCGUAGGCGGCCCUGUAAGUCAGUGGUGAAAUACUGCAGCUUAACUGUAGCAUUGCCAUUGAUACUGUAGGGCUUGAGUACAGAUGUGGUAGGCGGAAUUGAUGGUGUAGCGGUGAAAUGCAUAGAUACCAUCAAGAACACCGAUUGCGAAGGCAGCUUACUAAGCUGUAACUGACGCUGAGGCACGAAAGCGUGGGGAUCGAACAGG
rnacentral:rRNA from 1 species